GUCAAAUCAUCAUGCCCCUUAUGUCUUGGGCUUCACGCAUGCUACAAUGGCCGGUACAAAGGGCUGCAAUACCGUGAGGUGGAGCGAAUCCCAAAAAGCCGGUCCCAGUUCGGAUUGAGGUCUGCAACUCGACCUCAUGAAGUCGGAGUCGCUAGUAAUCGCAGAUCAGCAACGCUGCGGUGAAUACGUUCCCGGGUCUU
rnacentral:rRNA from 1 species